rnacentral:rRNA from 1 species
CCCGCUCAGAAACUUAAAGGAAUUGACGGGGGCCCGCACAAGCGGAGGAGCAUGUGGUUUAAUUCGAUGAUACGCGAGGAACCUUACCUGGGCUUGAACGUAUGGUGCAUUAGGGUGAAAGCCCUAUUUCUAGCAAUAGACUUCAUACGAGGUGCUGCAUGGCUGUCGUCAGCUCGUGCCGUGAGGUGUUAGGUUAAGUCCUGCAACGAGCGCAACCCCUGUUUCCAGUUGCCAUCAAGUAAAGUUGGGGACUCUGGAGAGACUGCCUGCGCAAGCAGAGAGGAAGGUGGGGAUGACGUCAAGUCAGCACGGCCCUUACGUCCAGGGCUACACACGUGCUACAAUGGCCGGUACAGAGGGCAGCGACCUGGUGACAGGUAGCGAAUCUCCAAAGCCGGUCUCAGUUCGGAUCGGAGUCUGCAACUCGACUCCGUGAAGCUGGAUUCGCUAGUAAUCGGAUAUCAGCAAUGAUCCGGUGAAUACGUUCCCGGGCCUU